rnacentral:rRNA from 1 species
CAUUAGCUAGAUGGUAAGGUAACGGCUUACCAUGGCUACGAUGUCUAGGGGUUCUGAGAGGAAGGUCCCCCACACUGGAACUGAGACACGGUCCAGACUCCUACGGGAGGCAGCAGUGAGGAAUAUUGGACAAUGGAUGGAAAUCUGAUCCAGCCAUGCCGCGUGCAGGAAGACGGCCCUAUGGGUUGUAAACUGCUUUUGUAUGGGAGCAAUAAGGGCUACGUGUAGUCCGAUGAGAGUACCAUACGAAUAAGCACCGGCUAACUCCGUGCCAGCAGCCGCGGUAAUACGGAGGGUGCAAGCGUUAUCCGGAUUUAUUGGGUUUAAAGGGUGCGUAGGCGGUUUGAUAAGUCAGCGGUGAAAUAUUUCAGCUUAACUGGAAGGGUGCCGUUGAUACUGUCGAGCUUGAAUUUAGUUGCUGUGGGUGGAAUGUGUGGUGUAGCGGUGAAAUGCAUAGAUAUCACACAGAAUAUCGAUUGCGAAGGCAGCUCACAAAGCUAAUAUUGACGCUGAUGCACGAAAGUGUGGGGAUCAAACAGGAUUAGAUACCCCGGUAGUCCACACUGUAAACGAUGAUAACUCGCUGUCGGCGAUACACAGUCGGUGGCCAAGCGAAAGCGAUAAGUUAUCCACCUGGGGAGUACGACCGCAAGGUUGAAACUCAAAGGAAUUUGACGGGGGCCCGCACAAGCGGAGGAACAUGUGGUUUAAUUCGAUGAUACGCGAGGAACCUUACCCGGGCUCGAACGGUGCAUGAAUAGAUCAGAGAUGGUUUAGUCCUUCGGGGCAUGUAUCGAGGGUGCU